AGUGGGUGCAGCCCAACCCCACGCUGAGCUGUUUCACAGCCGGCCCUGCCCCCUCUCCAAGAUGCUGUUUUGGCACAACCAGCCGGAGCAUCUAUGGCCCAGUCCUGGGGACCUAUACCCUGGGCCCCCCAGCAGCCUGCUCAGGGAGCCCCUGCCCUUGCCCUACUUGAAGCAGGAGGAGCUGCCCAACAUCCCUGGCACGGAGCUGCCCUGCCCCAUGUUCUAGUACGUGCUCUGUGCAGCCACCUCGCCAGCCGUGAAGCAGCAGGAGGAGACCCUCACCUACCUGAACCAGGUCCUAUGAGGUCCGGAUGCUCUGCAGCUCCAAGCCGUGUGAUGCCACCCAGUGCCCCCAGCUGCUGAAGAUGUGCCACUGUCCGUGGGAGUGAUAGAACCCCAAGUGCUGCUCUCACAACUCAACAUGGUGGAGUUUCACUGGGACCCAACAAAGAGGACAUCUCUCUUCCUGCAGUUCACACCUCGGAAGAAAGGUGGAGAGAAAGGCAUCCCUUUCCGCCUCCAGAUCGACACCUUCAGGCCCAGUGACAAGGGGCUGCCGCUAGACCACCUGCACUCAGCUGGCUGCCUCAUCAAGGUGUUUAAGCACAAAGGAGCGGAAACUGAAAAUGGACCGUGAGAAGAUGGAGAAACAGCCCCUGCAUGAGAGGGACAAGUAUCAGACCGCCUGCGAGAGCACUGUCUUCUUGGAGUGUUCGCCAUGGCCGGAGUCCCCUGCAAGGCCCCGGCCACCUCUCAGCUCUCUGGCUCUGACCUCUCCCCACUCCUGCAGGCUCUUGUCCCCAGAAAGGCUCUGUUCCUCACCACCAUUCGCUCUGGAUACCUUGGGGUGUAGCCCAGUUGAGGAUCUGAACCAAAAAGCCCCCAUCUCAGAGACACAGCAAUGGUUGCAUCAGCACUGGUUCUCCAGCUACUGCCGGAUGCUGGCCAACUUCACUGGUCUGGAUCUGCUGAAGCUUACAUGCCAGGACCUUAUCCAAAUCUGCGGGGCUGCUGAUGGGAUCCGCCUUUUCAAUACUCUUAGAGCCAGGUGCUGGACACUGCCAACCAGGGUCCCCUUCCCACUGUAGUGGCCCUUACUAACUUAGCUAGCAGGUAUGUUUCAUACAAUUUUUUUUUUAAUAUGGAGUUUCACUCUUGUUGCCCAGGCUGGAAUGCAAUGGCGCAA